rnacentral:tRNA from 1 species
GCCGUUGUAGCUCACCUGGCAGAGCAUUCCCUUGGUAAGGGAAAGGUAUUGAGUUCGAGUCUCAACAACGGCU